rnacentral:rRNA from 1 species
AACGAACGCUGGCGGCAUGCCUAACACAUGCAAGUCGAACGAGACCUUCGGGUCUAGUGGCGCACGGGUGCGUAACGCGUGGUAACCUGCCCUUAGGUUCGGAAUAACUCCCCGAAAGGGGUGCUAAUACCGGAUAAUGUCUUCGGACCAAAGAUUUAUCGCCUUUGGAUGGUCCCGCGUUGGAUUAGCUAGUUGGUAGGGUAAAAGCCUACCAAGGAGACGAUCCAUAGCUGGUAUGAGAGGAUGAUCAGCCACACUGGGACUGAGACACGGCCCAGACUCGUACGGGAGGAAGCAGAGGGGAAUAUAGGAAAAUGGGCGAAAGGCUGAACAAGCAAUGACGGGUGAGUGAUGAAGGCAUUAGGGUUGUAAAGCUCUUUUACACGGGAUGAUAAUGACAGUACCGGGAGAAUAAGCACCGGCUAACUCCGUG